GUGGGGAAUAUUGGACAAUGGGCGCAAGCCUGAUCCAGCAAUGCCGCGUGAGUGAUGAAGGCCUUAGGGUUGUAAAGCUCUUUCGGCGGGGAAGAUGAUGACGGUACCCGCAGAAGAAGCCCCGGCUAACUUCGUGCCAGCAGCCGCGGUAAUACGAAGGGGGCUAGCGUUGUUCGGAAUUACUGGGCGUAAAGGGCGCGUAGGCGGCGCGUUAAGUCAGAUGUGAAAGCCCUGGGCUCAACCCAGGAAUUGCAUUUGAUACUGACGUGCUUGAAUCCGGAAGAGGAUGACGGAAUUCCCAGUGUAGAGGUGAAAUUCAUUGAUAUUGGGAAGAACACCAGUGGCGAAGGCGGUCAUCUGGUCCGGUAUUGACGCUGAGGCGCGAAAGCGUGGGGAGCAAACAGGAUUAGAAACCCUAGUAGUCC
rnacentral:rRNA from 1 species